rnacentral:misc_RNA from 1 species
GUAGGUGAACCUGCGGAAGGAUCAUUAUUGAAUUAACUUGUUGGGUUGAUGCUGGCUCCUAGGAGCAUGUGCACACCCUUCAUCGUUUUUCCACCUGUGCACCCUAUGUAGUCCUGGAUACCUCUCGAGGCAACUCGGUUUUGAGGAUCUGCUGUGCGAAAGCCAGCCUUCCUUAGAUUUCCAGGUCUAUGUUUUUAUACACCCCAUUACAAGUUUAGAAUGUCAAUUAUGGGCUUCGUGCCUUUAAACUAAAUACAACUUUCAACAACGGAUCUCUUGGUUCUC